rnacentral:lncRNA from 1 species
GCCUGAAUGCCUCCAGGGGCAGCGAACUCAUUACUUCUCAAGGCAGCUCAUUCCAUCUUGGAAGAGCUGUAGUGUUCUUCCUUCCUUGAAUGCUACUUUGUCAUUCAGCUUCUCUGAGUUUUCCCAUCUUUAGAGAAUUAGAAUGGAAAGUCCCUCCCAACUCUACCUGCUUUUGACUCUUAUUGAGGGCACUGCUUUGUGAGAUUAAAUUGUGCAGACUGCUCCCUCCUUUUCUCCCCUCACUUCUCAGCAGGAGGCUCUUCUGCCUAGAACAGAGCUCAGAGAUGCCACUUCCAGGAACCCUUUUCUGGCCCAAGCCACCCUUAUGUUGCUCAAGCCGCUGGUUUAAGCUUUGGUCCACUGUGAAGGGGCAUGCGCACACACAGCUCAUGACUGGAAAUGCCUUCUGUCUAAUUUCAAUCUCACUCACUAUAAUUUUCAGUCCAGUUCCUUUCAAAGCUGCUGCAUACCAUGGCAAAAAUACAAAGCCCUUAAGCUCUGCCCUUUCCUAGCUGAGAGGCACCCAGCAAAUGUGAGAUGGGGUCACACCUCUCUUGCAGGUGACAAUAAAUACAAGGGCUUAGCCAGCCCUUGGGAACAUUACAGGCACUCAGUAGUGGCAGCACUAUUAGGGUGACAUUUAUGACUAUCAUGCAUGCUUGUCCUACCAAAACAGGAGCUCUUCUAGAAGACCUGCUCAAUAGAGCACCAUGUCCCAAGGAAAAGAGCUCUGAGUAGGGUGUCAAGAGACAAGGAUUUGAGCCCCAUUCUGUAAUCACCUGGCUGGGUGACCUGAUGGAAAUCAACCUCUAUUGAACUUGUUUUCCUUAUCUGUAAAAUAAGGUUUUAAAAUAUCCCUUUCUUGUCAUAAAAAUCAUGAUUUAAAAGAAAUUUUAAAGACGUAAGAACAUGCUUGUGAAAUGUUACGUGGAAUAAAAGCAGG